UAAACGUGAUUCGUAUAUGUCCCAAAACUAUGUACUGUAUUCCAUUCCCUCCCACUUUCCCACGCCUGCAACCAAUUCUUCGCCUUAUCUCAAUGGAGGCAAAACUGAGCCUUUUCUCUGCUCAAAGUCAAACCCCUGCCCGAACCGUUUUCUGAAAAUGGAUAAUAUCCUGGCCACAUUAGUUUGGCCGGAAAUUCGGGAUCUUGACCCGACCAAUUUAACUGGGCCAGAUCAAUGCGGAAGAAAUAGUUCCCUAAAAAUUCAAAUUCCAGCCGCAGUGGCAGUCGGUGUUAUUUUGCGUGUAUUUCGGUUGCAGAAAAGAGAAGAAAAGGAGUUUUGGCCUACGUUGGCUCAGCUCGUUAAGAAUCCUCUGGCUUUGGUUCCUAAAGAUACAGCUCUUUUUGCAGCCGGCGCAAUUGCCGGGGCCGCCGUCAAAACCGUCACCACGUCACUCGACCGUAUCAAGCUCCUUAUGAAGGUUGGUGCUAGUCUUCAUUUCCAUACAUUCACAUGUCUGUGUUGUACAUCCUUAUAUGACUACUACAUGAGGCUAUAGUUUCUUUUAGAAGGGGCAAAAUAAGGCAAGAAUUUGGCUUCUCCUGUUAAAAUAAGAGAUAAGUAGAGAAACAGAAAACCAGUGCUUGGGUGAAUAAUACGAAGGAAAGUUGCAAGAAAGAGGAUGCAAGCUACCCGAUUUGAGGAACCUCUGAAGCUAAAGCUUUCGUGCAUAGCAGAGAAAACAAGAUGAAAAGUGAUUGUGGGCUGUACGCGAUCUUGAGACUAAAAUUCUCCAAGCUUAUGGUUUCAAUAUAUAGACUAGUUAUCACUGUAUUUUACUGAAAUCAUUUCUAGUAUCCUUUACUCACGAAACUAAACUCACUCACUCACUGAGCUGGAGAAGAUCUAUAAGUCUGGAGUCGACUGGUGCUGAUCUGCAAUGGCUUGACUCAUCAUGUAACUCCUUAAGAAAACACAAUGUUUGUAUGUGUGUGCUGCAUAUGCUCAAACCUAACCGCUUGUAUCUGUCAUGUUCCUUUUCCUGGUCGUAAUAUGAGUGACCUGUUAAGUUAGUUCGUCAUUUUCUGAAUAGUCUUUUUCGUAGUUCGUAACAUCACUGCCAAAGGCGCUGAUGCAGUUUCAUUUCCCUUUUUAUAUGGGAAUCAUGAGCUUUAUUUCAUUUUCCGAGUAUUCAGCCAUUCUCUAUUAUCUCUCUUCAUGCAACUUCUUUUUCUUCUUGGACAUAUUUUUUGACUUCAUGGUUACUGAUAGGUGAUUUCUUAUUAAGUCAGUUGCAUUCCAUUUGGGUCAUGUUUAAAGUCUUUUAUUAGCUUCUCUUUCUGUACAUCAUCUGCCGUCCUUGCACUGUUGUACUUCAACUCAAUUCACAGUUCACAAAAUGCUGCUUCUAUAUUUUUCACCAUAUAUUGUACAAUGAUACCAUAUCCUUAACCUUUUGAAUUUGUUUAAGCCUUCACAUUAAUUGGGAAGGAGGAAGGAAUUAAGGGAUACUGGGAAGGAAUCUUCCCUAGGUAUGCUGUUCCUUUUUUCUCUUAAGGUGUGUUUGACAGUCAAUAUUUUUUAUGGAAAAUAUCACUUUUCCAACCAAAUUCCUACUUUUCUUCUGUUUGAUUGAUAUUUUUUUCCAUGGAAAACAUUUUCUCACUUUUGGUCACAUGUCUAUAUUUUCAUGUUUUCUUUAGGGAGAGUAAGUUUUUAUUUUCCAUGUAAUUCUCCCUCUUUCUCUCUCAUCUACCUCCUCCUUUUCUCAUCUACCCACUAAUAAAAAAUAGACAAAUAUAAUACAUACUAGGUUGAAAAAUAA